rnacentral:lncRNA from 1 species
AUCUGGCAACGAGGCUGCGAGGAAAUCUUAAUGAUAUUGGACAUAUUGUUUUCCCCGGUGUACAAGGUAGAGUUGAAAGAUGCAAGUGGUGUUUCUGAUCACUUUCCUUUUGGUCUCAGCUCACUGCACACCAUGGAAACCACCGAUCAACAGAGCGACUACCAGAGCCCCCAUGCUGCCGUCACCACCGAGAACAGAAAUUGCUCCUCCUCUGACUCCGAGGCCCCCAGGCCCUUUCACCCCAGACAGACGGGGAGACACGUGAUUCAUGAAGUUCUGCAGGGAUUUCAGAGCGAAAGGCAGCUUCUUCCCCCGCAUCCACACCACAGCUGACGAUCCAACACAGCAGCUCUCUGCUCCGUGUCCCACAAGGGACCCUCUUCUGUAUCCUGGCUAAAAUGGCACUUCAUUAAAAAUGUUUCUGUCACUACGAUAUUCCCAAAUGGAAUGAUAUUUCCCAUCAUUAUCAGCCUUUAAAGAGAGAUGGGGAAAACGAGCAAAGGAAUCGAGGGAACAGGAUCUCUUUUUUCCUGGGAAGCCCUAGGUGUAGCUAAAAAUCAAGAGGUUCUAUGACAAAGGAAGAGGGCAAGAGGAUACUGGGGUGGUGGUGGGUGACAGGACUGUCUCCAGGUGACAUCCAAGCCCUUGAGAGACCACUGGGAUGUUUCCAGCAAGAGGAGAUGGUAUUCUGACCCUUUUAACUGGGACAGAAAUUUGAUGAAGCUCAGGGGAAAUGCACCUAAAAUUUCCCCUUGUCUUAUUUGGGAGGCAGAGUUAGCAGUUUCUCCCUAAUCACAGAUGUGCAAAGAAAAGGG